rnacentral:rRNA from 1 species
GACGAAGGGGGCUAGCGUUGUUCGGAAUUACUGGGCGUAAAGCGCGUGUAGGCGGUUAUCCAAGUCGGGUGUGAAAGCCUUGAGCUCAACUCAAGAAAUGCAUUCGGUACUGGGUGACUAGAGGACCGGAGAGGAUAGUGGAAUUCCCAGUGUAGUGGUGAAAUACGUAGAGAUUGGGAAGAACACCAGUGGCGAAGGCGGCUCUCUGGGACGGUACUGACGCUGAGACGCGAAAGCGUGGGGAGCGAACAGG